CUCUUCCACAAUUUUCUUCUACUUCUUUUCUACCUUCACUUCUUAAUAUGACCCAUGAUUGAAGGUGUGGGGGAAAGAAAAUUGAAGCAAAAUCUCUAAGAUUGGAGAGCUAAGACUAUAAUCUGUGCUACUCUUAACACUAUCACUGACGAUGGCUAAGAAGCGAAAGCAUGAUUCCAAAGUCACUGAACCAACCGAACCUCCAAAAAAGCAGCAGCAACAACAGAAACAGAAACAGAAAGAAGAAAUCGUGGAACACGUCAAUGAAGAAGAAUUCGAGGAAGUCGAAGAAGAGGAGGAAGAUGAAGUAGAUGAAGAAGUGGAAGAUGAAGAAAAAGAGGAUGAUGACAAUGAUGAAGAUGAAGAUAAUUCUCUACAAAAUAAUCAGAAUCAGAUCAAUGAUGAAGAUGAUGAACCUAUAGAAAAACUUCUUGAGCCAUUUAGCAAAGAGCAAUUGGUCAAUUUGCUUCGGGAUGCUGCUAAUACCCACCAAGAUGUUGAUGAUAGGAUACGUAGGAUAGCUGAUGAGGACCCUGUGCAUAGGAAGAUCUUUGUGCACGGCCUUGGCUGGGACACCACCGCUGAGACCCUCAUGAAUGCAUUUAAGACCUACGGCGAGGUUGAGGAUUGCAAGGCGGUGUGCGACAAGGUGUCUGGUAAAUCCAAGGGCUAUGGAUUCAUCCUUUUCAAGAAGCGAAGUGGGGCUCGCAAGGCCCUCAAGGAACCUCAGAAGAAGAUUGGCAAUCGGAUGACUGCUUGCCAGCUCGCUUCCAUUGGCCCUGUCUUAACCGCUGGUUCGGGAACCCCUGCACAGCAGCAGGUGUCCGAGUAUACUCUAAGGAAGAUUUAUGUGAGCAAUGUUGGUUCUGAUUUGGAUCCGCAGGAGCUGACUAACUUCUUUGCCAAGUAUGGGGAGAUUGAGGAAGGCCCACUUGGCCUAGACAAGGCAACUGGGAAGCCCAAGGGAUUUUGUUUGUUUGUAUACAGGAACGUUGAGAGCGCCAAGAAGGCACUCGAAGAACCACACAAGAACUUUGAGGGUCACAUUUUGCAUUGCCAGAAAGCAAUUGAUGGGCCUAAACCCGGUAAAUCUAUGCAGCAGCAACAGCAUCGUAAUGUGCGGAACUCGCAUUUUCAGAGGAAUGAUAAUCCUGCUUAUGCUAGUGGAACUGCUCCGGGGCCAGGUCAUUUGAUGGCACCUUCUGCUGGACCUGGGAUUGGUUUUAACCAGGGUGCAGGAGCUGCAGCUGCAUCUGCUUUGAACCCUGCACUUGGUCAGGCACUGACAGCCUUGCUUGCAUCGCAGGGUGCUGGAUUUGGCCUCACUAAUUUGCUAGGAACUUUGGGCUCUGCAGCUGCUGUUAACCCGGGCAGUGUGCCUGGUGCAGCACCUGGAAUGCAGGGUGCCUAUGGUAAUCAAGCAAAUAUAAGUCCCGGAGUGAUUGGAUCUUAUGGAAAUCAAGGAGUGAUGCAGGGUGGGUACUCAAAUCAGCAGCUGGGCCAAGGUGGUUCUGGAAGAGGGCAUGGUGUUGGGCAAUAUGGUGGUGCUGCACCUUACAUGGGUCACUAGAUAUCUUACAUACUUG
rnacentral:misc_RNA from 1 species